GAUGAACGCUGGCGGCGUGCCUAAUACAUGCAAGUCGAGCGAACGGACGAGAAGCUUGCUUCUCUGAUGUUAGCGGCGGACGGGUGAGUAACACGUGGAUAACCUACCUAUAAGACUGGGAUAACUUCGGGAAACCGGAGCUAAUACCGGAUAAUAUUUUGAACCGCAUGGUUCAAAAGUGAAAGACGGUCUUGCUGUCACUUAUAGAUGGAUCCGCGCUGCAUUAGCUAGUUGGUAAGGUAACGGCUUGCCAAGGCAACGAUGCAUAGCCGACCUGAGAGGGUGAUCGGCCACACUGGAACUGAGACACGGUCCAGACUCCUACGGGAGGCAGCAGUAGGGAAUCUUCCGCAAUGGGCGAAAGCCUGACGGAGCAACGCCGCGUGAGUGAUGAAGGUCUUCGGAUCGUAAAACUCUGUUAUUAGGGAAGAACAUAUGUGUAAGUAACUGUGCACAUCUUGACGGUACCUAAUCAGAAAGCCACGGCUAACUACGUG
rnacentral:rRNA from 1 species